AACGCGAAGAACCUUACCUACCCUUGACAUGGUCGGAACCCUGCUGAAAGGUGGGGGUGCUCGAAAGAGAACCGGCGCACAGGUGCUGCAUGGCUGUCGUCAGCUCGUGUCGUGAGAUGUUGGGUUAAGUCCCGCAACGAGCGCAACCCUUGUCCUUAGUUGCUACGCAAGAGCACUCUAGGGAGACUGCCGGUGACAAACCGGAGGAAGGUGGGGAUGACGUCAAGUCCUCAUGGCCCUUAUGGGUAGGGCUUCACACGUCAUACAAUGGUCGGAACAGAGGGUUGCCAAGCCGCGAGGCGGAGCCAAUCCCAGAAAACCGAUCGUAGUCCGGAUCGCAGUCUGCAACUCGACUGCGUGAAGCUGGAAUCGCUAGUAAUCGCGGAUCAGCAUGCCGCGGUGAAUACGCUCCC
rnacentral:rRNA from 1 species